ensembl:lncRNA
GUCAAUCUGGGAUUUGGUACAUGCAGUUUUUAUUUUUUUUAAACUUUUCACAUUGAAAAGAAUAAUUUUGAUCCCAUGGAUGGCUAGAUGCUGCAUCCAUAGUGAUGAAUGCGAGAGAGGUGAUGUUUCUCCCGCCCCAUCCCUUAGAUGUUUACCUUAAUAACAAGUGGCCAGAUGACCUAAACCGAUUCAAAUUGCAUUUUGUGUCUUGGCCUUUUUUCCACAUUUAAAACACAGACGUUGUAAAAGUUGAAUCAAUGUUUGGGGUUAAAUAUCUGCAUUCAUAUGUCAAGUCAUUACAAAAGUUCAGAGAGGUGGAUUGUGUGUAAGGUGUGACGCACUACCACCAUGCCACCACCAGUACUACUGUCUGCCACGUCUAAGAUGUCUUCUGGUUCAGUGCACUAUAUGGCCUCCGAGGUGUUUAGAGACGUUGUUGACUCGGUUAAGAGGGUUAGGGUUAGUGCACUAUAUGGCCCCCGAGGUGUUUAGAGACAUUGUUGACUCGGUUAAGAGGGUUAGUGCACUAUAUGGCCUCCGAGGUGUUUAGAGACGUUGUUGACUCGGUUAAGAGGGUUAGUGCACUAUAUGGCCUCCGAGGUGUUUAGAGACGUUGUUGACUCGGUUAAGAGGGUUAGUGCACUAUAUGGCCUCCGAGGUGUUUAGAGACGUUGUUGACUCGGUUAAGAGGGUUAGGGUUAGUGCACUAUAUGGCCUCCGAGGUGUUUAGAGACGUUGUUGACUCAGUUAAGAGGGUUAGUGCACUAUAUGGCCUCCGAGGUGUUUAGAGACGUUGUUGACUCGGUUAAGAGGGUUAGGGUUAGUGCACUAUAUGGCCUCCGAGGUGUUUAGAGACGUUGUUGACUCAGUUAAGAGGGUUAGUGCACUAUAUGGCCCC